UCUGCUCUCUCCCUCUCUCCCUCCCUACCCCUGCCUUUCUCUCCUGCUCUUCAAUGUGAAAUAAGGCCACUAUAUAACCGCUUGAUCCAGCUUGGGACACCACCCACUCCUGCCUUUCCCCUCCUUACCCACAGGUGGCGCUGUACAGCAUGUAUGUGGCCUGUAUGGCUUUCCAUGCUAAAGUGAGUGACCCAGUGAUCGGUGGGACCUACAUGACCCUGCUGAACACGGUCACCAACCUGGGGGGAAACUGGCCCUCCACCCUGGCAUUGUGGAUGGUUGACCCACUCACCUCUAAGGAGUGCCAGGGAGCCGUCGGACAGAGCUGUGGCUCCUCAGAGGAGGCUGGGCUGUGUGUAAAGGAGGGCGGUGUGUGUGUGACGUCGUUGGAUGGUUACUAUGUGGAGUCGGUGGUGUGUGCGUUGAUAGGACUAAUGUGGUGGGUGUGGCUAGGGAAGAGGAUGAGAAGGCUACAGGACCAGAGCCCUGCAGCUUGGAGGUGCCGGAUCGGCCAAUGACAACGUUCACCCAGCUCCUGACCUGCACAACCCCUUUCCUGACUUCAGCAAGGCCAAUCGCCAGACAGCUACAGUCUGAUAUAAAAGCUUCCUCUCUUAUCUUUUCCUCUCGCUCACUUUCAGUUGGUCUAUGUUGGUCUGUCUCUGUCCCUCUCAGUCCCUCUCAGUCCCUCUCUGUCCCUCUCAGUCCCUCUCAGUCCCUCUCUGUCCCUCUCUGUCCCUCUCAGUCCCUCUCUGUCCCUCUCAGUCCCUCUCAGUCCCUCUCAGUCCCUCUCAGUCCCUCAUUAUCCCUCUCAGUCCCUCAUUGUCCCUCUCAGUCCCUCAUUGUCCCUCUCAGUCCCUCUUUCAACCUUCUCUGAUGGCUCUUAUCAGUCUCCAUUCUUCCCAACCUUCUCUGAUGACUCUUAUCAGUCUCCAUUCUUACCAACCUUCUCUGAUGACUCUUAUCAGUCUCCAUUCUCCCCAACCUUCUCUGAUGACUCUUAUCAGUCUCCAUUCUUCCCAACCUUCUCUGAUGACUCUUAUCAGUCUCCAUUCUUACCAACCUUCUCUGAUGACUCUUAUCAGUCUCCAUUCUUCCCAACCUUCUCUGAUGACUCUUAUCAGUCUCCAUUCUUACCAACCUUCUCUGAUGACUCUUAUCAGUCUCCAUUCUUACCAACCUUCUCUUUCUCUGCCUGUGUGUAUAUUGUCGUUCAGCACUUAUUUCUUUGAAAUACAUGUAGCUGUGGUCUGGCUACCACAUGACUAUGGACCAUAACAGUCAAUAACAACAGUCCACUUCCUGCUUGUACCAUCACGUCUUCACCGGGACUUCUGCCCCUUCAACUACUUUAUGUCCCAUUGGAAAGAAAACAGAGAAGGAACUAUUGUUCUUUUGCUCGGGAAUAUUUACAGCAGACAUUUACUCUGGGAAAUCGCUGAUCCUUCUUCUCCUUCCACAUUCUCGGUAUCUUAAACUAUUUCAUUAGGCUUGUCACUUGUCAUUAUUUGUGCCUUUGCUAGGUUCUUCAGACUGUCAUUAUAAAGUUGGAUGAUAUUUGAAAAGACUUUAAUCAAUGGUCAUCAAAAAGCACACCACAUUAAAUGUUGAGAUGUCGGCGA